GACGAACGCUGGCGGCGUGCCUAAUACAUGCAAGUAGGACGCAGUUGCGAACGGGUGAGUAACGCGUGGGUAACUACCUAUUAGAGGGGGAUAACUAUUGGAAACGAUAGCUAAUACCGCAUACUAGUAGAUGGACCUGCGUUGUAUUAGCUAGUAGGUAGGGUAAUGGCCUACCUAGGCAACGAUUACUAGCCGACCUGAUCGGGGGAUCGGGCCCACUGGGAAGGGGAACCGGCCCAGACUCCUUCGUGAUGCCGCAGUAGGGAAGUUUCGGCAAUGGGGGGCACCCUGACCGAGCAACGCCGCGUGAUUGAAGAAGGUUUUCGGAUCUUAAAGCUCUUUUGUUCAGGAAGCGGUACUUAACCAGAAAGGGACGGCUAACUACGUGCCAGCAGCCGCGGUAAUUC
rnacentral:rRNA from 1 species